CAAGGAACCCCCAAGAAUCAACAUUUUUAUUGGGAAAAUGCCCGCCCACUGUCAGGUCUGGGGAGGGGCCGCGGGUCUGCCGCCUUACUCCUGUAGAGUUUAUUUUCGGGAUACGUCCAGAGAAGAUGCCUAGUCUUCCAACUCCCUGCUCCACUGCAGAUCUGACACAUGGUGACCUCAGAGCACCGGGUUUCCAGGGCAGUCUUCUAUCCAGCUACUGUGAGACUGAACAGAGCAGCACCUUCAGGAUGGCCAUUCUCUACAUUAAAUUUGAAAAGCUCAGCGAGACAGAGUUUCACUAAGUCGCUGAGGCCCUCACUAAAUUGCUGAGGCUGGCCUUGAACUUGAGGUGCUCCUGCCUCAGCCUCCUGAGUCACUGGACUACAGAUGUGCAUCACUGCACCCAGCUCUAAGAAGGGCUUCUGAAGGACAGAGGUCUCAGAUCUGCUAUGUGCACUCUUUUCUGCACACCCUCAUCAGAGAAGGGAAAACCAAGGCUUGGAGGCACUGAGGCUUCCCACAGCUGCUGGAGGGAAGUCGGGCUCACUGAGACGCCUGCCUGUUUCUUUUUCGCAUCUCACUGAAUUGCCUCUUGACACACCAGUGCUGAGGUUCUAGGUGACAGAUACAUACAGGUUGCCUCUGUGUCAGACAAAAACCCUAUGAAGAAGAUGCCAUUAGGUACCCUGUUAUACAGAGAAGGAGACAAAGAUACAGAGCGGUGAAGUCAUCUGUCCAAUGUCACACGAUCAGCGAGCAGUGGAGCCUCGGCGGGGACCCAGGAGGCCACAGCUCUUCCCACCAGCUCUGCCAGGGCUCGAGGAAGGCAGUGGCAUUGCUGAGAGCAGUCUCCUCACUGUGACAGGAAAAUCAGACGACCUCAGGGGUUGCUGAGAAGAUCACGUGAGUCGGCCCAGGACUCCAAGAGCAUGACUGUUGUCACGAUCAGUGCUAUGAUCAUCACCAUCACCUUAAACACGACUCUGGAAAGUGACUUUUCUCCAGAUGUUUUUUCAAAUCUGCCUCCUUCCCUCAUUUGAAAAAAAAAAGUACUAAAUAUUAUUUUUACCAACUUCCUGUGAUUUUUCUCCAACUCUAUAUUUUUCCUCCUAGAAGAAACGCUGAUGGUAGAAGGAUUGUUCUUUUCAGAGUCUUCUUUUCUAAAUUCAAAUCCUGUCUCCACCUGACCAGCUGUGUCACCUCAAGCAAGUUACUUAACCUUUCCAUGCCUCAGUUUCUUCAUCUAUUAAAUGGGGAAUAAUAACAAGGUCUGCCUCAUAGGUUCUGGAUCUUUCCAGGCUGCCACCUGGUGAGGUGACUGGAGGACCUAACAAACCAUGCACACCAAGAGCACGCAGCCAAGCUUGGCAUGUAGUUAGAACACGGCAAUGUCAUGGGCCAAGGAUGUAGCUGGUGGCCGAGUGCACCCUGAGGAUGCAGGUGGGGUCAUGGGUUCCAUCUCCAGCACCACAAAAAACAGAGAGAGAGACAGAUGUCAUUAUUGUUGGUGGUGAUGCUAUUUAUGAUACAGUCACAUGAUGGAAAAUGUAAAAGAAUCCCAGCACAGGGGCUGUAAUCCCAGCUACUCAGGGGGCUGAGGCAGGAGGAUGGUAUGGUUAAGGCCAGCCUCAGCAACUUAGUAAAAUCCUGUCUCAAAAUAAAAAGUAAAAAGGGCUGGGGAUAUGGCUCAGUGGUAGAGCUUGCUUAGCAUGUGUGAGUUCAACCCUCAGUACUGGAAAGAGAGAGGGUGGGGGUGAGGGGGGAGAGAGAGAGAGAGAGAGAGAAACGGCAGAAGAUAUAGAAAAAAUGGAUCCAGCACAAGGGCAGACAGCCUUUGGCCCUCUCCUCAGCUGGUGGUUCUGGGUGGAGGUAGGGUUUUUUGGUUUUUUUUAGUUGUUAGUUUUUUGGGGUUUUGUUUUGAAGCAAGGGACAUUUGAAUAGAUGCAAAUGCAAGAAACUUCUUUUGUCCGGUUUGCUUUCUUAGCAUCCUUUACCACAACUGUCAUAAGGGUCCCCGGGUCUUGCCUGUGCUGGGCCAGCGCCUCCCACUUGCCCCCCCUAAAGCACAUAGGCAAUUUCUCCACCAAGAUCAGAGCCUCCUGGAUGGGGAGCAGACUGACGGCCACGCUGCCAGACACCCAGCCUGGGCCCCUCACAGGCCACCACCUUUGCUCAGGGACAGGUGCCAGGAUGAACCCACUGCCUGAGCCGUCUGACCCCAAAGGCAGGGUUCUGGAUCUUUCCAGGCUGCCAUCCUGGUUAACCACACCCCCAGCCCCCUCCCCCCGGGCUCACAGCCAGGCCCUCACCUUUCUGCACCUUGUCACACAACAGGUAGAGCUCCUCGCCCCCCGUGCACGGCCCGCUCUCCUUGUUGAUGCGGCAGAUCCGCAGCUCAGACGUGUUCGUGGAUUCUGGGGAGGAGGGAGAGGAAGAGGCCAAUAAGGGAAAACAAGAAUCCAGGUACCUUUCCACCCAGUGGCGGUGGGAAGGCAGGAAACUGAGGAGGCAGGGCACCCUGGUUCAGAUGGAGGAAGAGGCCACCGGUCGGCCAGCAGUGCCGCUGCUCUGCCUGCCCAGCAGUCCCAGCCCUUCUUCUGUGAAGAGUCCUCUUGGGGACACCACUUUCCCUCAAGACACACCUCCCUCUGCCCCUGGCCAUUUCAGUCAAGGGGAUUGGGUAGGAUUGAGUCCCUUCACCAGCUCAGCAGUGAUCACAAGCCCCAGAUCGGGCCAAUCAGAUCAUCACCUCCCCUACCCACAGCUGAUUGGUCAAGGAGGAGCAAAUGACCAAACGCAGGCCAAUGAGAGACAGCCCUGAGAUUUUUUAGCAAAAAUACUAGGAAAGAGCCAGGAUUAGUAAGGCAGGCCUGUAAUCAGCAACUUGGGAGGCUAAGACAGGAGGGUCCUAAGUUUGAAGCCAGGUUCAGCAACUUACUUAGCCCCAGUCUCAAAACACAAUAUAAAAAAAGGUGUGUUGGUGCAGACCUGUAAUCCCAGUGACUCAGGAGGCUGAGGCAGGAGGAUGGCAAGUUUGAGGCCAGCCUGGGCAACAUAGCAAGAUUUUGUAGCAAAAUAAAAUAAAUAAGAAAGGGCUGGGAAUGUAGCUCCAUGGUAGAACAUCUCUGGGUUCAAUUCUCAAUAUUGAAAAGAAAUUUGGGUGAGAGAUGCUAAAAGCUCUCAUUGGAGUGCAGGAGAGGUAUCAGCACACAGCCCUGGAAGGCCCUGGCAGGAUGGACUCUUAACAUGCAGCAAGCACAACUGGGGGACAGAACUAGAUGGACCCCCCCAGUGACACCGUGAGGUCUGAAUGCAACCAGACCUGAAGCACUGUGCUAGUCCUCUACUGGGUGUUUUGUUUGUUUGUUUUGUUUGUUUUUGGUACUGGGGAUUGAAUCCAGGGAAGCUUAACCACUGAGCUAUAUCCCCAGCCCUUCACUGUUUUUUAUUUUGAGACAGGACUCAGUAAGUCGCUGACCAUCUUACUAAGUUGUUGAGGCUGGCCUCAAACUUGCAAUCCUCCUGCCCCAGCCUUCCAAGUUGCUGGAAUUGCAGGCAUGCACCACUGUGCUUGGCUUGUCCUUCCUCAUUUAGAUGCUGUGGCAGUCACUGCAGGUUGGCUAAAGCCGAACAGCUAUUCCCAAGCUCCUCUUCCAGUCUGUACCCCUCUAUUCAGGUUGAAAAGCCUGUAUACUUACAUACCCAGAUCCCCUUGCAACUCAGUAUGGCCAUGGGACCAAGUUCUAACCAAUAAGACAUCAGCAGAAGCCUUCCAAGGAGAUUCUGGAGAAUAUAAACUUUUUAUCUACUAAAGAAAGAGGUAUGGGGCUGGGGCUGGGGCUCAGUGGCAGAGCGCUUGCCUAGCAUGCAUGAGGCACUGGGUUCGAUCCUCAGCACCACAUAAAGAUAAAAUAAAGAUACUGUGUCCACCUAAAUCUAAAAAAUAAAUUUAAA